UACGUAGGGGGCAAGCGUUGUCCGGAUUUAUUGGGCGUAAAGAGCGUGUAGGCGGCCAGGUAGGUCUGCUGUGAAAACUCGAGGCUUAACCUCGAGCUGUCGGCGGAAACCAUCAGACUAGAGUCCGGAAGAGGAGAGUGGAAUUCCUGGUGUAGCGGUGAAAUGCGCAGAUAUCAGGAAGAACACCCGUGGCUAAGGCGGCUCUCUAGUACGGUACUGACGCUGAGACGCGAAAGCGUGGGGAGCGAACAGG
rnacentral:rRNA from 1 species